UUGCUUUGGGAACAAAUAUAGUAAAAGUGGAAUUAUACAGAGAAGAUUACCAUGGUCCCUAAGUAAGAAAUAUUAAAUUGAUCAGAAGAUUAAAAUAAAAUAU
rfam:Dipodomys ordii contig_19920, whole genome shotgun sequence.